rnacentral:misc_RNA from 1 species
UUUGUCUUGGAAGAGCAUUAUUAAAAAGAAGAAAAAUAUUAGUUCUUGAUGAAGCAACAGCAUCAAUUGACAAUACAACAGAUUCAAUAAUUCAAAAAACAAUUAGGACAGAAUUUGAGGAUUGCACAGUCAUAACUGUAGCUCACAGAAUCCCAACAGUAAUGGAUUGCACUAUGGUUCUUGCUAUAAGUGAUGGGAAGCUGGUAGAGUAUGAUAAGCCAAUGAAACUUAUGAAUAAAGAAAGUUCAUUAUUUGGACAGCUUGUUG